ACUCGGCUCUGAGCGCAGCUGAGGGGAGUUGUGUGUCCUCAGGCACUGCCGGGGCUGCGGCUGGGACGCUGGGCUCAGCGUCAGUGCUGACAGGAGCUCGGUCUCCUCAGGACUCGCUGGGGUUUCGGCUUCAGGACAACGUGGGGCUGCGUCCACGCUGACGGGAGCUGGGUUUCCUGAGGACGCAGGCGACGCCGGCGGAAAAGUCUCAGAUUUACCUGAUGGCCACCACUCACAGUUCCCGCAGAGCCCAGAGAUUUCUCCUGGAAGGGAAAGGUUCUGGAAAAUCAGAGGGAUAAAUAAAGGAUGCAGCUGAUUCCCGCCUUGUGCUGACGCCCGAGAGAGUGAGGAGAGCCACGAGGCAUGUGGAAUCUUAGCUCCCUACCCAGGGAUCAAAAUAGCACCCCCUGCAUUGGAAGAUGAUGUCUUAACCACUGGACUGCCAGGGAAGUCCCCACAUUCCUGUAUCGUUGAACUUGAAUUUCUGAGCUAUGUCAGACUUGGGAUGCCACUGGCCAUUUUCAAAACAAUGUCUGCUGGUAGCUGCAACUGUACGUUUUCAAGGACUCCUCUCUUAACUAUUAAAUUUUAAACAAUGAUGUUAGAUCAGAUACUAAUAGAAAGAUGAGACAUAUGUGUAGUGGUCAAUAGCUCCUGUUAUGGAUAUGUUAAUACUACAUCAGAAGUUAAGACCUACUUAGGUAGAAUUAGACAACUGGCUACAAAGUCUCUCCGAAGUGCCAGUUCCAGACUGGGUUUCAGACUUAUUCUCCUGAAUUCCUAAGGGAAUGAGAUGUACUUUUACUAUUAAAGUUUCAGUUGUUACCCCUCCUAUUGUAACUGGGUUGGUUGCACCAAAAUGGCAGACCAAGGGAUUGAGAUCUUAAUCAUACGAGUCUCAGGUCCAGGACUUGGAACUCAAAUAUUUGUAAUUUGGUAUCCAUUCCCCCAGAUUUAGGCAGGAUGACGCCCGCCCCCGCCCCCAGUUUCAGCAGGAAGCAGCCAGAGCAGUCGUUGCCCCGUUGCCUGAAAGAUGUGGGGAAAGAUAAAACUGAAGUGGGGAUUAAAACCGAGUCCCCUUAAAACCGAGUUCCUGUGCCAAGUUUAUGAUUAAUGUCUCAAUCUGAAAUGAUUAUUCCUUUUCUUGUCAAAAACCUGUUGUCCUAAAGAUUGGGGAGUGUCUAGAAGAGGAGGAGUUAAACUGAGUGGGACUCUGUGGGUCUCCUGGGCACAGAAGCCUUUCUGUGUGCCUCCUAACUUGUUUGUGGGGAAUAGACUAGACACUCCAGGACCUUCCCUGAGUUCCAAAGGGUGGAUUCGAACAGUUGCUAAUCAGAGAAGGGAGGGGAUGCAGAGACAGGGAGGAACAGUCAAGAAACAAUAGUGCAGCCUUGAGGCAGGGUCCUGGUUCUGCCUCAAGGGAUACACAUAACAAUAUUUUUGAGCUCCUUAAGUAACUAAAACCCCCAACAAAUGGAAGAUGUUAGCAUUCUUCAUUCCAGAGAAGCUCAUCAAGAGACUGUCUGAGGCCAGAUUAAAGGAGUGCAGGCCCUGUAUACACCCUGAUCCUUAUCAGCAACCACACCCUUGAACCAUUGCUAUAAAACACCUCACCAAAUCCUCCCGCACUGGGACACACAGUUGUUGAGGGCGCGAGCCUGCUAUAUCCUCUGUUGGCUGGCAGAGUGAUAAAACUAAUCUUUUCUAUUUCUUCCAAAACACUGUUCUUGAGAUUCGAUUCAAAACUGGUGCAGAGAGGCUGCUUAUUCAGUAUCAGGUACAGAGUCAGGCUGUUGGAAACAGUGUCAGGUCUCUAGUUAUGGAAAGCCUCAGGGAAUUAGGGACAGACCAAGAUAUUAUGCACAGCGUCAGAGCCUUAGUUAGGGAGAGUGUCAGGGCAUGACGUAGGACCAGCAUCAGGACCGUAGUUAGGAUCAGCAUCAGGGUCUUAGUUAAAGACAUUGCCAGGACCUGAGUUAGGCACAGUAUCAGGGCCUCCAUUAGGGACAGGGUCAGUGCUUGAGUUAGGGACAGCCUCAGGGCCUGAGUUAGCGAUGGCCUCAGGGCUUACUUAGGGACAGUGUUGGGACUUUGGUGAGUUGCCUCAUGACAUUACCUAAGGGUAGUGUCAGGACUUCAGUUAUUGACAGCAUCAAGGCCUAUGUUAGGGACAGCUUCAGGGCCUUAGUUAGGACCAGUAUCAGAGCCUGAGUUAGGCCUAGCAUCAGGGUUUGCAUUAGGACUAGCAUUAGGGCCUUAGGUAUGGACAGUGGCAGGGUCUGAGUUAGGAGUAGAUUCAGGGCCUUUGUUAGGGACAGCAUCAGGGCUUUUGUUAGGAUCAGAGUCAUGACAUUAGCUAGGGACAGAGUCUGGGAAAGAGCUAGGGAUAGUGUCAAGAUGUUAGUUAUUGAGAGCAUCAGGGCCUGAGUUAGGACCAGCCUCAGGGCUUGAGGUAGGGACAGAGUCAGAGCCUGAGUUAGGGAUAGCCUCAGGGCCUGUGUUAGGGACAGCUUCAGGGUCUUAGUUAGGGACAAAGUCAGGACCUGAGUUAGGGACAAUGUCAGGGCCUUAGUUAGGGACAAAGUCAGGACCUGAGUUAGGGACAAUGUCAGGGCCUUAGUUAGGGACAAAGUCAGGACCUGAGUUAGGGACAAUGUCAGGGCCUUACUUAGGGACAGAGUCAGGACCUGAGUUAGGGACAAUGUCAGGGCCUUAGCUAGGAUCAGCAUCAGGGUCUUAGUUAAAGACAUUAUCAGGGCCUGAGUUAGGCACAGCAUCAGGGCCUCAGGGAUAGCUUCAGGGCCUGUUAGGGACAGCAACAGGGCUUUCUUAGGGACAGUGUCAGGACCUUGUUUAGAGAUGGGUCAGGAUAUUAGCUCAGGAUAGUGUCAGGACUUUAGUUAUUGCCGGCAUCAGGGCCUAUAUUAGGGACAGCUUCCAGGCCUUAGUUAGAGACAGUGUCAGGGCCUUAGUUAGGACUAGUCAGGGCCUGAGUUCACCCCCACCCCACCCCACACACCAGACAACCUCCCCAAGCAAGGGCAACACUAAGCCUGAGAUUUGCCCUGUGCCUUAAGUACUGUCUUCAUCCCCUUAAAAUAAAAACACCCUGGAGUGCAGCCAGCUGAAUCGCAGCACAGCCUAAGUGAGAACCACCCCUCUCUGCUGUGCCCCAAGGGACUCAGGGAAAAAAGCAGAUGCGAAGAACAGAAGUGUAGAAGGACUAAUAGAAUAGGAAUAAAAUAGGGAUAAUGAAGAAAGGAAAACAGACUGAAGGGCUGGAGGCCAUUUAUCAUUUAUAAAACUUUAUACGAAGCAUGAAAAAUAGCCCAGCAGGUUUCCUGCCUCUCAAGUCAUGUCACUGCAUCACGUAGUCGUCAUCCCCAAUAUGGGAUUCCUGGGCUCUGCUCUGCAUCUGGGCUGGCAACAAAACAGUGUCUACAGUUUAAGCCCACUUUUAAAAUAUAUGCAUAUACACAUAUACAUAUAUGUGUGUGUACAUAUACACAUGUAAAUACGGAACUGUGUGCAGCAUUAAAAAGAACGAAGGUGGGUUUGUACACACCAUCACAGAAAUAGGUCUACAUCAUAAUAUGACUUGAGAAAGCCAAGCUGCAGAAUAGUAUGUAUGGUCCUGCUUCUGGGAGAAAAAAAGGAAAGACUGAGAGAGAGGGAGUGAGCGGAAGAGACAAAGAGUCACAAGCCAGUUCACACCCUCACUUCACUCAAAUUUCUGCACAAAGUGACAGCCUGCGAAAGCCCUUCCCUGAUGACCCCCAGAGCUCUCUAGCCCCGCAUCCUGCUUCACUUUUCUUCCUAGUACUCAUCACAUUGUAUAUUUGUCUUAUUUAUUGUCUGUCUGUGAGUACAAGGGUCUUAGACUGUUCUGUUCAUCCCUGAGUCCCCGGCAACUAGAACAGAGUGCAGCACACAGUAGGCCCUCUGGAAGUAUUUUUUGAAUGAAUGAAUAGAAACUUCAAAGAAAUAGUCUAUAAGGAGUGGAAUAAGUGGGGAAGUAUAGAGGAUAUAUAUUUUAUUUCUGUACUCCUGUAGUCUUCUGCUUUGUAUUGCAAUAUUAUUUCCCUAUUAAAAAUCAACUGCAAAUUGGGGAAGGAAGGUCUUCCUUUAGGCUGAGCUUGGCAUCUAACCCCCUGAAGCUCCCUAGUUCUAACCCAGAGCCAAGCAGAGCAAGGACCUGUCUUCCUUCCCUGUGACGGUCUUUCUUGCCUUCUCUUUCCUCCCUUCUCCAAGCUGAACUGCUCCCUGUGUCCCUGUACUGAACUCAGAAGGACUGAGAAAGUUUUUAGAUUGUCUAACAGAAGAUAAACAUAUACCCCAAAAUAGACCUGAUUCACCUAGAUUUGAGAUACAAAUUCAUCUUCUCUUUGCUAAUUAAAGGGAAAGAACAAGGUAUUUCUUACCUGCACGUGAUUUCGUGUGUGGGCAAGACUCCGCGCAUCUCUGGGUUCUCGUCUUGGCCUUCAUACGCUACGGCCUGUAAACAAAGGCACGAUUUGAGCUAAGAAUGGAACCAAGUAGCAGAGGACAAACUACCAUAAUCGAGUUCUUGACCAUUCACCAGUGCUGCAAGGCCAACUAGCUUUCAGAGCCAAAGGCCUCACUGGGCUGAUUGUUUUAAGACAGUUGUUAAGGAUCAACCCAAAUUGAGUGGAAGGGGAUAUGUUCCUCUCUGUCCCAUCAACCACCUUAUUAUAAUGCACAUCUUUGGAUCCUUGUAUGAAAUGGGCUUCUGUCAUCAAGACAACCACAGUUCUCUCUUCAAUUCAGAAUAAAAAUAAAUCUAAUAAUGGGGAAGGAAAAACCCCGAAGGCUUAGCAGACUGAGAUACUAGUGAUUUAAAAUAUAGAAAAGCACAUGGAUUUUAUUUUUAAAUGAUUUGUAUUUGUCGCCUCAUUUUACUACUUCCAACUCCAACAUGUAAUAUUCUAGAGGUAAGUAGCAGAAAACAAGUGAGGCUAUGGUUAUGAGUCCACUCACUGUCUUGUGAUGAUUCAUCAAUCCGGAAAUCCUUCCUGCCUACAGGUUGAAAACGUGCUCUCUGGGGAGUAUAACCACCCAAACAGUAAUACUCGCCCGCGUAUGCUGGGGGAAGGGCAGGGUUGGGCGGGGAGUUAAGCCAUAGUUAUCUCCCUCAACUAAGAAGAAUUACAUCUGACUCUCAAAAUUUGGAGUCCCAAACCACCUCACCAGCCAAGAUGUUUUUAGUAAUAUGUGUACAAACAUGUUACUUAAGGUCGCUGGAAGUUUCCUUGAGACCUCUGCUUACUGGAAGAUCUACAUGUUAAUACCUGGGCCAGAGAAAAGCUCACAGCUAUGGGUAGAGCAGUGCUCUGCAUGGGGAUACAUUUUAACUAACUUGACAAUGUAGCACUGCGUAAUACUAAUAUAACACAGCUUCAAAUUCUUAAUAAAAUUACUUUCACACAUUCAGAUAACUCAGUUUCUCGGUGAUGAAACUACUUAAAUUAACCAGAGACUAUCCUUUUUUUAGGACACACAAAAACUGCAGUAACUAACUUAUAGUUGUCAGGAAUGUGCUGGUUUAUGAACCUGAGACUUUUAGAACUGUAAAUGAUGGAGGACAGCUUAUGACACUAUGUGUGCAGACCCUCAGAGCAGGCUCUGGCUUUGUUACCUAACUCCAGUACAAAACAGAAAUUGCAACACAUUAAAAAAUGAGAAAAAGUACCUGUAUAAGGAGAAAACAUUUCUCUACCAUUGGCCCAUCAAAAGCAUUUUUUAUGGUUAGCCUGUUAUAACCCUAUAGUUUUAAUGUUUUAUUUUGCCAUAAUUUUAGAUGUAUAGAAUUUUAGAUGUAUAGAAAAGUUGUGAGGAUAUAUAAAGAAUUCCACGAUACUCUACCCAGAUGCCUCAAGUGUUUACAUUUUAGUAAAUUUGCUUUAUUCUUCUUUCUUUCUCUAUUUUCUUUUCCUGAACCAUUUAUUAGUUAACUGCAGACAUGCCCUAAAUACUUCAGAAUGUAUUUCCUUAAAACAAGGAAUUCUCUUACAUAACCAUAGCACAAUUAUCUGAAUCAGAAAAUUAACAUUGGUACAAUACAAUAAUCUAAUCAACACCUGAGAUUCACCAAAUACCCAGUAAUGUCCUUUAUAGCAAACAACAACAAAACCAAUACCAAUCACAACAUUCAGUUGUCAUAUCUCCUUAAAAAAGGAAUAUUCCUGAGUCUUUGUAUUUCAUGACAUUGACAUUUUUGAAGAAUACAGGCCAUUUUGUAGAACAUCCUCAAUUUGGGUUUGUCUAAUGUUCCCUCAGGCUUAGCCUGAAGUUAUGUAAUUCAGGCCCGGAAUACCACAGACAGGAUGCUGAGUUCUCCUUGUAUCACAUCACACUGUCAACUCGUUCCACUAAUGCAGUAAACUCUGACCAUUUGGUUAAGGGGGUGCCUGCCACCCAUCAGAGAGC